CAGUCGGCGACGUGCGGAGGCGAUCUCGCGGACGGACCUUUAACGGGCCGGACGUCGUGGACGCCAGUCUCCGUCGGAGCCGACGCACUUUCCCCCGCGCGUCGGACGCCGCGACCGGUCGAGUUGCAGCGAGAGUCGGCCACGAGGUCGGGCGCAGGCAGGUGGUCGGAGAGGAGAUUUUCCAAAUUUUUUGGAUUUUUUUCCCUUUCCGGCUGUUAGCCAGCCCGUCCGAGGCGCGACACUCGACCGAGGUCGAUGCUCCCGAGUCCCCGGGAGCGAGCCGUCCCCCUUUCUCUAGCGAGUCCUCCGACAGGCCGGCUUCGCGUCCGCCGAUCCCACUCUUGGUAGUGGCCGGCGCACGGAGUUCCGAGCCGUUGGUACGACAGACGUCUCGCGGGGGGUCAAAAAAUAAACGAGGCUCAACCCUCUAUUAUCAGAGGUCUGCGGCGAGUAGGUCGGUCACCCACCCGUCCCGUCUUGAAACACGGACCAAGGAGUCUAACACGUGCGCGAGUCACGGGGUCUUGAACAGGCCCAGAGGCGCAAUGAAAGUGAGAAAAGGCGAUCUCUCCCACCUGUUCCCCUAUUGCUGGGGUGGGUGGGGAGGUUCCAUGGUCGGGACUCCUCCGCUUGACAGACGGAGGAGGCACCGACGGCCCGUCGCUUCCGACACGUCGGUGCGGCGGAGUCCGAGCGUACGCGUUGGGACCCGAAAGAUGGUGAGCUAUGCCUGGGCAGGACGAAGCCAGAGGAAACUCUGGUGGAGGUCCGCAGCGGU
rnacentral:rRNA from 1 species